rnacentral:rRNA from 1 species
UACAGAGGUCUCAAGCGUUUGUUCGGAUUCAUUGGGCGUAAAGGGUGCGUAGGCGGCGCGGUAAGUCGGGGUGUGAAAUCUUGGAGCUUAACUCCGAAACUGCAUUCGAUACUGCCGUGCUUUGAGGACUGGAGAGGAGACUGGAAUUUACGGUGUAGCGGUGAAAUGCGUAGAUAUCGUAAGGGAAGACCAGUGGCGAAGGCGGGUCUCUGGACAG